rnacentral:rRNA from 1 species
CACGUAGGGGGCAAGCGUUGUCCGGAUUUAUUGGGCGUAAAGAGCUCGUAGGUGGUUUGUCGCGUUGUUCGUGAAAACCGGGGGCUUAACCCUCGGCGUGCGGGCGAUACGGGCAGACUUGAGUACUGCAGGGGAGACUGGAAUUCCUGGUGUAGCGGUGGAAUGCGCAGAUAUCAGGAGGAACACCGGUGGCGAAGGCGGGUCUCUGGGCAGUAACUGACGCUGGAGGAGCGAAAGCGUGGGGAGCGAACAGG